UACCAACUCUGCCACCGGGCCAGCCUCAGAAUCUCUUGACUUUUAAAAAACAGUGGCCGCAUCUGUAGGAGAGCUCUCAUUGACCAGUUUGGUUUUGAGACCCUACACUAACCCUGAUUCCACACUCGGGUCCACUGAGUUAGGGCAUGUGGACCUGCCAGGCAGAGGGCAUGAAUCUCAGAGUGGGUUACUCCCAUUGCUCUUGGCGCAAGGCUGGCCCCAGGAAACACGACAGGGACGAGGUGACUUGGGUUGGCCUGAGUUGGCUGUGCUCAGGUGGAACACGACUGGAGCCUCCACACUUCUCCACCAGCCCCCAGCCUACUGGCCCUGAAGUGAAGUUGCCAGAGUUAGCAAAUAAAAAUAUAGGGUGCCCAGUUAAAUUUGAAUUUAAGGCAAAGAAUGAAUCAUUUUUUAGUAUAAGAAUGUCCCAUGCAAUAUUUGGGAUACACUAAUACUAAAAAAAUUAGUCACUGUUUAUGGGGGGAACCCUCCCCUCUAGGAGUCUGUUCCCAGAGAAGUCCCUGCCCAAGCCCAGUUGAAGGCUGUGCCCGGCCCAGGUUCUCUGUCAAGACUCCCACCUCAGCCUGAGGGACCAUUCAGGGUAGGGAGUGGGGCCGGGGAGACUCCUGACAGCAGCCCACAGCCCUGGCAGUCCAGAGCUCAAGCCGUUCCCAUCACUGCCUAUGUCUCAGACACACCCCCACCCCAUCUGUAAAAUGAGAGAACUGGUCCAGGGUGGAACUCGAAACCCACUCCUUGCUCAGUUAGAUUUAAUAAGUACUAUUUACCUUAGGAAAGAAGAAUCUUUAACCUCUGCUCGUCUGAAAGGACCUUUCCAAAGCCAGCCCUCCUGAGGCAGCAGCCUGGGCCCCCUCCUGGCUCAGCUCAGCCCUGGAGCGCCUCACUCAGCCGCAGCUCCCACCAGUCAAACCCACAAUGACACCUUUGGAAAGGACCCAACUACCAGGUACCCCAAAACACACACAACUGCAAAAGCAGAGGGUCACGCAGACGCAUUCGCUUAGGAAAGAAAGAGGCAGAUAAACCCAGACACACACAGAAGCCCUCACACGCACCGGACGGGAAAAGUGCCCACUUAGCAAACACCCAGCACACAUACCCCACCCAGAGCACGCACGACAUGCCACACACACACAGACUGAGCACAAAUCACACUCGUGCUUUCUCACACACUUGCUGAAGGUGACAGCCAAUAUCAACCGUGUCCCCAGCCAUCCCUCAUCUGGGUUCUCAGCCUGAACCCCAAAUGUCCAAGGUGUUUCUGGGGCUAAAGCUUCUCCCAACUGUGCCCUUCAAGCUGCUAAAAAAAAAAAAACCCUGAAGGUGUUCCCAAAGAACUUUGUUUUUCACAUCAGGCUAAAUCAAUAGAUUACCUGGAAGCUGUAUUCUGGAAAGAUGUUACCCCAAAUGGUAAAGGUGAUAAUGAGGACGAUGAAGAUGACAACCACAACUGCCAGCAUUUCUUGAGUGCCAGCCGUGCCCCCGGAACUGUGGUAAGGGCUUUCCAUACAUUACCUCAGUCAACCCUCCCAACAAGCCAUAAGGCAGGAACUGUUAUCAUGCCCGUUACAGACAAAGAAACUGAGGCUCAGAGGAGUUAAAUGAAUGCCUCGGGAGAGAUUCCAGCAUCUGUCCCCAGGGCUGUCUAACUCUAAAACACAGCCUCACCCACAAGGCCACGCGGAAAGGUUUGGCCCCUGGGUGAGGCAGGUCUGUGAGCUCUGGGUCCUCUUGCUAACCAGAGACCCAGGGACACUCCGGGACUAAGGGGGCUGGAAGGGCUGGCUUCCGCCCACCCUCCUGGUGGUCCCUGCACCAGGGAUGGGAGCCAGGCCCCUCACAAUGGAGGAGCUCCUCAUAAGAGGAGAGAUUUAUAUCUGCUCAGCUCCCGAGAGUCCCGGUCACCGAGCCCACCCAGGGAGGGCACAGAGGAGGACCCUAAAGAGGACCUAGAGAGGGCUGUCUCAGGGAAACCAGCCUCUGGGACAUUCUUAACCCCAACCAAAGGAGGGGGACACCCUUCUCAGCCUCCACCUCUGCACUGGGGCCUGGCUAACAGCUGUUCCCAGCUGGAGGCUCUCUAUGCCCCCCACCCAGGCAGUCCCCGGGGACAUGGAGGCAGCUUUGCUGAAGCCUAUCAAAGCAUUCUUGUUCUUACAGCUGUUUCCUGGGAGGGCAGUUGGAGCCACAAUAACCCCCACAUCUGUUUAAGGGGCUGGUGGCUGGUACUCCACCUUCAGCCCUUCGGGAGGGGUCCUGCCCAUCAGCAGAGGGGAAAAUGAGCACAUCCGAGAGACACGGUUUAGAACCUUUGACCUUUAGGACUGGAAGGGGCCACCCAUCCCCAUUUUACAGGUGACUUAACUGAGGCCAAGCCACCCCCUGCUCCCAAAGGGUUCCCCCACACAGAGCCCGUUUCCCCACAGACUCUCUGGGUAGGCCCUGGCUCCUCCUCUGCUGGCUCAGAUCGGCCUCCACUUAUACAAGACAUGACCAGCCCAGAAAGAGGUGUGAUGAGGCGCGUGGGAGUGUAAAGGCUGCAUGGACAGGAAGCCAGUGUUUACUCUGAGAUGCCUGCUCUGGCUCCUUCUCCUGCAUGAGCCACUGCCCCCUUCUUGGCCACUAUUUUAAUUCUCAAUCUGUGGGUUUAUUUAAAUCAGUGUUUCUCAGCCUCAACAUUGUUGACAUUUGGGCCUGGAUAUUUCUUUGUGGUGGAGGCUGUGCUGUGCAUUGUAGGGUGGCUAGCAGCAUCCCUGGUCUCUACCUACUAGAUGCCAGCAGCACCCACCUCCCAGUAGUGACAACCGAAAUUAACUCCAGACGUUGCCAAAUAUCCCCUGGAAGCAAAACUGUGCCCAGUUGAGAACCACUGAUUUAAGUUGACUUAAAGGAGCGUAUAUGGACUGUCCCCUGUGUCUCGCCCCGAGUACAGGGAAGGAGGUGAUAGGUAUUCCCUCCUGAGCCCUGGAGUUCCUAUGGGGCAGAAAUGAUAAUAAAUGUACCCAGGACAAAGCAGGGUGUGCCAGGAGAUCCUGCAGCAGGCGGAAGUCGGGGAAAUCAUUGAGGCUGGGAUCCAUCCAGGAAGGCUUCCUGAAGGAGGAGGAAUACAAUCUGGGCUUUAUAUAUGCAGUCCGGGAAGGAUGCAGAUUAAGGGGAAAAUCUCAAAGACAGUGAGCAGAGCCCAGGGUGGGGGGAUGAGUGUAGAAUUUCCAGGGAGGGGAGGCGGCCACAGGUGGCUGGAUUUUAAGCUGGAGUGUAUUAUGGCUGCCUUCCUCGAGGGCGGGUCCUGGAGCCCAGAGCAGGGAAGAUGUUGGGGAUGAAUGAGGAAAGGGUAGGUGGGGGGGACGGGGGAAUGCCAUAUCUCUGUUUCUGGGGUGCAAGCAGGGGCUUGUGUCUCUCUGAAUCCCCCGAACCCAACACAGAAUCAGGCUAAGGAAAUGCUGGAUGAUGAAGCUGCUGCUGAUGUGGAAGAAAGGUCUGAUGAGGAGGAAGGUGGGCAUGGGCUCCAGAGGGCUGGGAAGACCAUCCCGGAUGUCGAGGGUGCUGAUGAGGGGGCCCAGCCAGAGGGCGAGCAAGGGACCUGACCAGCCCUCACCCUGAUUUCUCAGGGUCUGCCCUCACCUGAGGUCUCCCUCACGGCCCACGUGGGAGGGGGUGGGAGGGGAGUGGGAGGGAGCGCUAAUGGAGGGGUCACUGCUGGGCUGGGAGCAGACCACAUGGCUUCCUCCCAGGCUGCAGACCUCUCUCUCUGAAGGAGACUUCAGCGGGUUUGCCGGAGGAGACAGGUGACCUUCUUGGCCUAGGAAGCUCCCUUCUCAGACAGAAGCACUGGUUCCCUACCCCCAGUCUGGGCUUCCUGAGCCAUGGGUGCACAUCUGCCCUCAGAUCCACCCUCAGAAUGGGCUCCCUGAGGGCAGGGCGACACCUUCCCAGUGGUCCCCUUAGGGAAACACAAAGUGUGGGGCUGGGGCUGCCCACAGGGAGCUUCUGGACUGACUCAUCAGCAGGGGGCGCUGUGGGCUCAGGCACGGGGCUUGGGCAGCUGGAAGGGUGGAGACUGGCCUGGCCUCCUUCACCUCCUGUCAAAAUAUAUCCUGUUACAUCUCCCACCCCAGCCAGGUUCAACUGCGUCCGACACAGCAGGGGCUCUACCUCCUCGCAACUUCCCAGCCUAACCCCAUUCUCCUCCCCUCCUCCGGAUGAGGAAGAAGGAGAAGGAAUUAUUAUACCCAUUUUGCAGAUGAGAAGACUGAGUCAUAUGGAUGCAGAAAAGACUGGAAGGAACAGCAGCAGGACAGAAUGGAUAGAGUCUUAGCUCUGGGGCCAGAAUACUCAGGCUUACUAGCAUGCCAGUUCAGCAUCUCGCUCCCUGUGUGGUGGGGGCAAACUUUGGGGCUUUGUUGAGUAAACCACUGCAGUUGCUGUAAGGGAGCUGAGCGUGGUGGCCCUCACUGCCCCAGGCUGGGAACAAUUCUGACACUGGGCAUCACAGCCCCUGUGGACAGCACUGGGUCCUGGGAGGAAGGGCUGGAAAGGGGGACAAGGCGGGCUUGCCCCAGCCCUUGUCUAGGCAGAGAAAGCAGACAGCCAGAAAGGGGAUUAACAGGGGGCUCUGAACAAGGGCAGAGGGGACAAAGGGGCUGGGCUGGAGAGCUGGGGGGAGGGGGCCCCAGGUGCCCGCUGUCCUGAGUUAUCUGCACUUUCUCCCAGGUCCUAGUAAUGAAUAACAGCAGUGGAAGCCAUGGGUGCCAUUCACUGCUCUCACGGUAUGUCCGGCUCUAUGCCAAGCAGGCAACUGGCUCAGUUACCCAUCCUGGGAAGCAGGCAAGGGUACCACCUCAUUUGAUAGACGAGAACAGGAAAGCUCAGAGAGAUAAAGUAACUCGUCUGAGUUCCCCAGCAGGAAAGGGGCAAAACGGAAUACCACCCAGGUCUGCCUGGCACGUACCCACCGCUCUCUUGGUGGAGUCAGGGUCGAGGCGGGUGCAGAGUGGCCGGGCAGAGCUCUGAUGGCUUUCUCUGGGGACAGAGGUGGAGGAGAACCAGCCCUGGCCCAGGUAUGCUAUCUGGCCCCAGGAUCGGCUCAUCAGCUUGCAGGUUCACGGGAGUGACCUCAGUGGUGGGGUGUUUUGGUUUCUCUGUUUGUUUGUUUUUUUCCUUUUUCCUUCUAAGAACAACUCAUUUUGGUCAAAUAACUAGAGUAAAAGUGACUGGUGUUGAGAAAUCUCCCCCUCCCCCUUCUCUGGCCCCAGGCAGUGACAUUUGAGGAACUGUCUCCUGGGGCCACAGAGGAUGCUGUUGACCCAGUUCAAAGGGUUGGCUCUUCUCCCUGCCCAGCCCCACCCACUUCCCCUCACCACCUCCCUCACCUGCCAAGCUUGGGCAGCCUCCCACCGGGGACUGAGGUCCCGCCCCAGCGGCCGAGCUGAGCCCCUCUCGGAGAGGGCAGAGCAGCACAGUGUGGGGAGAGAAGCUAAAUUCUCCCCUCUCAUCCCACCUGCGCAAAGAAGGAGACCGGGGUGAGGCUGAAAUUGAACUGCACAUGUCUCUAGUCACCUCUGUCACCACUCUACUGACCCCAUGGCACCUUCCGUGUGCCACUGACCACAGGUCAGCAUUGAGAAGGCUGACAAGGAUGUACCAGGCUGCAGGCUCCAGCGCAGAGAAGGAGAAGACGGAGGCGGUGGUGAUGUCAACCAAGGAAUUAAGUAAGCAGAGGAGCUGAUAACACUGCCCGACAAGCCCUGCUGUGGGCAAGGUGACUCAUCAGAGACGGGCCCCACAUCACAGGGUACCAGCGAUUGUUAACAGCAGCACUGUUGCUGCCCCUGGUUGAGCUGUCUAUGGAAACAACGCCACCGGAUGGCAGACUGCUGACCGCGACCACGUGGCGUCCUCGUGGAGGGUACAGCCUGUUCCUCCUGCAGCAGGCACCUGUAGAGCUGCCUCCACUCAGGCUCCCUCACUCUCUAGGACCCAGCUGAGGGGGCCAAAACUGUUGUGUUCUUCCCUAGCCCCAGGGGCGCCGCGUACUGUUGUCCAAGUUGAGAACUGUACAACUGGAGGGGGCACCAUUCACCGUCCAACGCAUGUGCCAGACCGCAUGGCUGUACCUGAUGGCCCCGCCCCUUCUCAUUUCUAAAUUACUUCUCACUCCCCUCCUCCGCCUAGAAUGAUCUAUUUAGCUUGCCCUUGAUAAGUUUGUCUUCACACCAAACUUUCCCCCAUAAACAUAAACUUCCUCCUCUACUGCCUGA